rnacentral:rRNA from 1 species
AUUGAACGCUGGCGGCAGGCCUAACACAUGCAAGUCGAGCGGAGCGGCGGACGGGUGAGUAAUGCCUAGGAAUCUGCCUGGGAGUGGGGGAUAAUGUCCGGAAACGGGCGCUAAUACCGCAUACUAGCAGAUGAGCCUGGGUCGGAUUAGCUAGUUGGUAGGGUAAAGGCUUACCAAGGCGACGAUCCGUAACUGGGCUGAGAGGAUGAUCAGUCACACUGGAACUGAGACACGGCCCAGACUCCUACGGGAGGCAGCAGUGGGGAAUAUUGGACAAUGGGCGAAAGCCUGAUGCAGCAAUGCCGCUUGUGUGAAGAAGGUUUUCGGAUUGUAAAGCACUUUAAGUUGGGAAGCGGUAACAACAGAGAAAGCCACGGCUAACUUCGUGCCAGCAGCCGCGGUAAUAC